AGAUUUUCAGGGCAAUCCAGGACACUGUGGCAGGCAUCCAGAAAGAGCUGUGUGAAGUUUACAAGUGAAUCCUGGACCAGUUGCCUGUUCCUGUCCUUUUACCUAGUGAGGGAAGUUCCUAAUGGAAGCUAAAGUGCUCUGCUGAUUUUGACACUAUAUGAUCAACUCUCAUUCUUCACUGUUUUCACUGCUGGAUUCCAGGAGCUCAACUUUUUUUUCCUAUUACUCAGUAAGAAAAAUAAUGACAGUAUCCUUUGCUUUAUGUUUACCUUCUGGUGUGUGCUCUUCAAGCUCUGACUGCUGCAAUAAA